UUCAUCCACUCAUUCACCACUCACUUCUUUCAUUCACUCAUCUAUUUUUUCUCUCUCCUUUUACCUUUCCAUUUUCUUUUCUUUCCUUUUUCGAUUUUCCCUCUUGAUAAACAGCUAGCAAGCCUCUUGGAGUAGAAGCAAUUGAGCAUCUUGGAGGCCUUUGACCGGUAGAACAAAGUAGAGAGAAAGAGACGAACGCUAGUCUGGCUUCGAAAAAACAUCAAAUUUGUCUUCUAGUUUCCCCGUCUACCUUUUAGUUUGUUUCGUGAUCAUAAACAUGAAUGAUUAUUAUUUUGAUGCUUCUAAUUUAAUUAAUAUGACUUAAAUUAUAUUUGUGUUAGAUUGAUUGUAUUUUAUCCACUUAAAUUGUUAAAAUUAUAUUUGUGUUAUUAUAGGCUUUGGUAGUUUGUCCAAUUAGAUAAAAUCAUGCCUAUGUUAUACUUGCAUUAUAAUUGUAAGGUAACAAUUGAAUUAAUUAUUAAUCAAAUUGAAAUUGUAAUUAAUUGAUAAAAUAUCUAAUUGAUACAUGUUUAAUCUUCUUACGUGUAAAAAUGGGUUAAAUUAGCAAUAGUAUUAAACAAUAUUCUUACCUUGCAUAACUUGUAAGAUUGUUGUGAUUAAUUUUUUUUUAAUACGAGAAUGUAUUGUUACUUCACUUUGUCUUAUACAUGCUUAUGAAAUUGAUUAAUUAGUUUAACAUAGAAAUAUGUUUGAAAUAUUGAUUAAUUGAGUAUGUAUGUGCAUUAGUUAACAAAAGACCAAGUUGCCAUGAAAUUAUUCGUAAUAGCAUGAACAUAGUUUUAAUAAUUCGAAGUUAAAUGAAUGAGAUUAAUCUAACACACUUAUGUCAUAUUGAUUAAAACGUACUAGAAAUUGUACUUGGAAUUAUAGUUUAAUUUUAAUUGUUUACUUAGAUUUAAUUUAUAUCUCACCUUUUCCAAAAAUAUCUUUUCCUCUACCAAAUUGCUUAAAUUUACAUUUCAUAAAUACUUGCUUGUAUAGUCCUUGUGGAUACAAUAACUCGACAUACUUGUCACUUGAUUGCUUGUUACGAUUGUAUACACUUGCACAUUUCUGUCGUUCCAAGUUUUUGGCAUCAUUGCCAAGGACUGUUUCAAAAGGCAUUAUUUGUGAAAUUGUUAAUUUUUUAUUUUGGUUUCUUUAUCUAUUAAAUUUUAAUUCCAUUAUUUUCCGUGAUUGUUUCAGGUGUUUAUGAGUAUUGAUCAAACCAUUGAUUUACUCCCUGUAGAUCCUAAAAUUGAUAGGACUUUUAGACAAAGGUGAAGACUAGCAACUCAAAGAAGGGCCGGAGAGAUGAACCUUGAAAACCAAAAUCAAGGAAAUUGAGAAAUUUAUGCUCAAAAUCCUAUCCUUUUUGCUAAUGAUAGGGAUUGGGCCUUAAGAUAGUAUGUUGUAUAGCUUUUUCAUGAGCUUAAUAUAAGAAUUAGUAAGCCCGAGAUAAGGGCACAAUAAUUUGAGUUGAAGCUUGUUAUGUUUCAAAUGCUUCAGACAGUGGUGGAAUGCCUGCUGAAGAUCCUCACCUUCACCUCAGAUUGUUUAUGGAGGUGAGCGACUCCUUUAAAUUUGCAUGAAAUUUGGUUUUCACUAAAAGCUAGGUUCAAUAUCACUUUUGUAACACUCAAAAAAUCAUAAGGUUAGAAUUAAUAAAAUCAACAAGAAAUAAGCCUUAGUUUAGGAGGUUAAGAGCUUAGUAGAUUGUCUAGAGAGCCAAGAUUCAAGCCCCGCACUUUUCAUUUUUUCCCCUUUAUUUUUUCAGCAACUAAGGAUUAAAACGAACCUAGUAUAAGAAACAAAUGUGGUAGCAAAUGACUAAGAAUGAGUCUACUAGUUUAGUGGUAAUGCAUUGACACAAUUCUCUCUUAUCCCAAGUUCUAUCCACGCCAACCUUAUUUCUCCCUUUUAUUUUUUUUCUUAGUUUCGGCUAUAAGGAUUAUUUGCCAAAAUAGCCCUCUAAAAUUUACCUAAUAUUGCCAUUUGGUCCCUUUCCUAAUCAUAAUAGGAUUUUGGUUAUCUUUUCAAACCUAAUUAGAAUUUCUUUAUCUUUUCUUUAAAUACAUCUUUUUCAUUUAUUUCCUCGUUUCCUUUUUAUAAAAAUAUUCAUCUUUUUUUGAUAGAAAUUUUAUAUUUGAUUCCCAAACUCGAAUUCCACCCCGUUCAAUUCGUUCUUCGUAUUGUUUUAGUGUAACACAGUCAAAAUCCGUUUCUAACGUGCCAAGAUCGAUUAGAAUUCUUAUUUUUAAUUUCGUAGAAUCCUAGCAUUCUAAAAUAAAUAACGUUCUUGUCAAUCUUUCAAUCGAUUUCGAAUCUUUAAUGAACUUUCUCAAAAGCUUGAUAAACUCAAUAUAUCUUGAACAUCGAUAAUAAUUCUUGCGUUUCUGUUGAUCGAAAGACUCAUUAUAAGUAUUUCGGAUCAGAUUUAGACGUGAGGACCGUCGCUCAAGACCCCGAAAGUCAAGUGUGUGUUCUUUUAUAAUAAAAUCCAGGCAAAAUCAAACCAAACCUAGACCACACGGCUUGCCACACAGGCAUGUGGGUGGCCCGUGUGGACUACAUGACCAUAUGCCACUAAAACCCUAUGAUUUUCACUUCUCACACGACCUGGCCACACGACUGUGUCUACCCUGUAGCUUAAUUUUUGUAUUUUUCACACAGCUUGAGCCACCUACACGGCCAUAUGCCCUUGUUUAUUAAAUUUUAUAGUUUUGCCAAUAAUUUUAUGUUUUGUGCAGAUUAGUCCUUGAAUGGUCCCCGAACUAUUUUUAGUGCAUUAAUUUGUGCAAAUAAGUCCGUGAUAGUAUGAAUUAUGCUAGAAUUCAUGAUUAGAUUGACUGAAAUCAGAUGAUAUUUAUAUGUAUUUGCAUGAUUUAUGAACAAUACUUAUGCCUUUUGUAUCAGUAUUUGUAAUUGAACGUAUGGAGUGUCUUAUAUCAUUAAAUCAAUAAAAGAAAACAUGACUUCAACUACUAGGAUUGAGUUUUCACAAGCAUAUUAAUUGCUACUAAAUCAAACUAAUAUGAGCAUAUUGUUUACCACUGUAUUGUUUCGUUAAAGGCAUAUUAAAUGCUACUGUAUUGAUCUGUUAUGUGCAUAUUAAUUGCUACCAUAUGAAGUUGUUAUGAAUAUGCCAUAAUGCAUUGCAUGGGGUGAAACGUUAUGAAUGGAGAAAGUUGAUAAACUAUAAAAGUAACAUAUUUUAAUCUCAUUCUUAAUGCAUUUUUGGAUGAUUAAUUAUGUAAAUUAGUGAAUUUGAUGCUCCUAAUACUUUAAAUUCAUGUUUCUAUACUUAGGAGAGCACUUGGAAAUAAAAGGAGCGAAAAACGAGCCAAAAUCAAAUAAAUAGAGUUGUUUCUAGGAACCACACGAACUGGGAAUUCCCACACGGGCUGGCCACACGCCUGUGUGAACCGUACGAGCUAGCUACACACCCAUGUACCAGCCCGUGUCGAUAACGCAACCUGCCUCCCUUCUGCGCGGAAAAACCCAAUUUUUAGGUUUUCUAAGGAUUCUAAAGUCUAUAAAUAACAAUUAGAAGAUGACUUAAGGAGACAGAUAGAGAAGAUUAAAGAAAAGACUCGAAGAAUGCCAUCAGAAUCAUCUCGGAAGCGGAUCUCCUUCAAGAUUGAAGAUUUCCAUUUAAUUUUUUAGAAGCUUAUUUGGGUUUCUUUAUGUUUUGUUGUUAUCUUAACUUUGAGAUGUUUCUGUUUAGGAUUAUGAACUAAAUUCCCUAGAUACCUAGGGAAGAUGAAACGUAUGAUGAAUUGUAUUAUUUGAUUUCUGAUUUACAUGAUAAAUACUUGAUUCUUGUUCUCAAUUA
rnacentral:lncRNA from 1 species